rnacentral:rRNA from 1 species
UACGUAGGGUCCAAGCGUUGUCCGGAUUUAUUGGGCGUAAAGAGCGUGUAGGCGGCCAGGUAGGUCCGGUGUGAAAACUCGAGGCUUAACCUCGAGAUGUCAUCGGAAACCAUCUGGCUAGAGUCCGGAAGAGGAGAGUGGAAUUCCUGGUGUAGCGGUGAAAUGCGCAGAUAUCAGGAAGAACACCUAUGGCGAAAGCAGCUCUCUGGGACGGUACUGACGCUGAGACGCGAAAGCGUGGGGAGCGAACAGG